rnacentral:misc_RNA from 1 species
UUUCCGUAGGUGAACCUGCGGAAGGAUCAUUAUUGUAUACCCGAGGUGCGAGGGCUGUCGCUGACCCGAAAGGUCGUGCACGCCCGAGUGCCCUCACACACAUCCAUCUCACCCCUAUGUGCACCACCGCGUGGGUCCCCCUUUGGCUUGUUCGGAGGGGGGCUUACGUUUUCACACAAACUUUGUAUGCAGUGUAGAAUGUAUCUUUUGUUUUUGCGAUCACGCAAUCAAUACAACUUUCAACAACGGAUCUCUUGGCUCUC